rnacentral:rRNA from 1 species
UACGUAGGGUCCAAGCGUUAUCCGGAAUCACUGGGCGUAAAGCGUGCGUAGGUGGCGUGUUAAGUGUGAUGUUAAAUCGUGGGGCUCAACCCUGUCGGUGCAUCACAUACUGGCAUGCUAGAGGACAGCAGAGGCAAGUGGAAUUUGUAGUGUAGCAGUGAAAUGCGUAGAUAUUACAAGGAACACCAAUGGCGGAGGCAGCUUGCUGGGCUACUCCUGACACUGAGGUACGAAAGCGUGGGGAGCGAACAGG